UACGUAGGGUGCAAGCGUUAAUCGGAAUUACUGGGCGUAAAGCGUGCGCAGGCGGUUGUGUAAGUCAGAUGUGAAAUCCCUGGGCUCAACCUGGGAACUGCAUUUGUGACUGCCCAGCUGGAGUGCGGCAGAGGGGGAUGGAAUUCCGCGUGUAGCAGUGAAAUGCGUAGAUAUGCGGAGGAACACCGAUGGCGAAGGCAAUCCCCUGGGCCUGCACUGACGCUCAUGCACGAAAGCGUGGGGAGCAAACAGG
rnacentral:rRNA from 1 species